GAGACAAGGCAAUGCACAGAUGGAGGACAUCACACCACAUUAAUAGGUGUGUGUGGUGUGUGUGUGUGUGUGUGUAAAUCUGAUCAACAAGUGAAAAGAGUCAGAUAACAGGAAAGAGUUUGAAAACUAUGAUUUGACGACCACUGCAGAAUUGGCCUGCUCAGAGGAAGAGGCACUAAUGAUUCUAGAAAAGAGGAAGCCAAAGAAGACCUACACACAUUUUAAAAUGGAUCUCUCAGUUGCCAUGAUGAUCAAGAUAUUCGACGGAGAAAUGU